rnacentral:rRNA from 1 species
AAAUUGAAGAGUUUGAUCAUGGCUCAGAUUGAACGCUGGCGGCAGGCCUAACACAUGCAAGUCGAGCGGUAGCACAGAGAGCUUGCUCUCGGGUGACGAGCGGCGGACGGGUGAGUAAUGUCUGGGAAACUGCCUGAUGGAGGGGGAUAACUACUGGAAACGGUAGCUAAUACCGCAUAAUGUCGCAAGACCAAAGUGGGGGACCUUCGGGCCUCAUGCCAUCAGAUGUGCCCAGAUGGGAUUAGCUAGUAGGUGGGGUAACGGCUCACCUAGGCGACGAUCCCUAGCUGGUCUGAGAGGAUGACCAGCCACACUGGAACUGAGACACGGUCCAGACUCCUACGGGAGGCAGCAGUGGGGAAUAUUGCACAAUGGGCGAAAGCCUGAUGCAGCCAUGCCGCGUGUGUGAAGAAGGCCUUCGGGUUGUAAAGCACUUUCAGCGGGGAGGAAGGCGUUAAGGUUAAUAACCUUGUCGAUUGACGUUACCCGCAGAAGAAGCACCGGCUAACUCCGUGCCAGCAGCCGCGGUAAUACGGAGGGUGCAAGCGUUAAUCGGAAUUACUGGGCGUAAAGCGCACGCAGGCGGUCUGUCAAGUCGGAUGUGAAAUCCCCGGGCUCAACCUGGGAACUGCAUUCGAAACUGGCAGGCUAGAGUCUUGUAGAGGGGGGUAGAAUUCCAGGUGUAGCGGUGAAAUGCGUAGAGAUCUGGAGGAAUACCGGUGGCGAAGGCGGCCCCCUGGACAAAGACUGACGCUCAGGUGCGAAAGCGUGGGGAGCAAACAGGAUUAGAUACCCUGGUAGUCCACGCCGUAAACGAUGUCGAUUUGGAGGUUGUGCCCUUGAGGCGUGGCUUCCGGAGCUAACGCGUUAAAUCGACCGCCUGGGGAGUACGGCCGCAAGGUUAAAACUCAAAUGAAUUGACGGGGGCCCGCACAAGCGGUGGAGCAUGUGGUUUAAUUCGAUGCAACGCGAAGAACCUUACCUGGUCUUGACAUCCACAGAACUUUCCAGAGAUGGAUUGGUGCCUUCGGGAACUGUGAGACAGGUGCUGCAUGGCUGUCGUCAGCUCGUGUUGUGAAAUGUUGGGUUAAGUCCCGCAACGAGCGCAACCCUUAUCCUUUGUUGCCAGCGGUUAGGCCGGGAACUCAAAGGAGACUGCCAGUGAUAAACUGGAGGAAGGUGGGGAUGACGUCAAGUCAUCAUGGCCCUUACGACCAGGGCUACACACGUGCUACAAUGGCAUAUACAAAGAGAAGCGACCUCGCGAGAGCAAGCGGACCUCAUAAAGUAUGUCGUAGUCCGGAUUGGAGUCUGCAACUCGACUCCAUGAAGUCGGAAUCGCUAGUAAUCGUAGAUCAGAAUGCUACGGUGAAUACGUUCCCGGGCCUUGUACACACCGCCCGUCACACCAUGGGAGUGGGUUGCAAAAGAAGUAGGUAGCUUAACCUUCGGGAGGGCGCUUACCACUUUGUGAUUCAUGACUGGGGUGAAGUCGUAACAAGGUAACCGUAGGGGAACCUGCGGUUGGAUCACCUCCUUACCUUAAAGAA